CAGCAGUGGGGAAUAUUGCACAAUGGGCGAAAGCCUGAUGCAGCAACGCCGCGUGAGGGAUGACGGCCUUCGGGUUGUAAACCUCUUUUGGCAGGGAAGAAGCCGUAAGGUGACGGUACCUGCAGAAAAAGGACCGGCUAACUACGUGCCAGCAGCCGCGGUAAUACGUAGGGUCCGAGCGUUGUCCGGAAUUAUUGGGCGUAAAGAGCUCGUAGGCGGUUCGUCGCGUCUGCCGUGAAAUCCUCAGGCUCAACCUGAGGCGUGCGGUGGGUACGGGCGGACUAGAGUGCGGUAGGGGAGAAUGGAACUCCUGGUGUAGCGGUGGAAUGCGCAGAUAUCAGGAAGAACACCGAUGGCGAAGGCAGUUCUCUGGGCCGUAACUGACGCUGAGGAGCGAAAGCGUGGGGAGCGAACAGGAUUAGA
rnacentral:rRNA from 1 species